UGAGGAAUAUUCCGCAAUGGGCGAAAGCCUGACGGAGCGACGCCGUGUGGGUGACGAAGUCUUUCGGGAUGUAAAACCCUGUCAGGGGGGACGAUAAUGACGGUACCCCCAGAGGAAGCCUCGGCUAACUACGUGCCAGCAGCCGCGGUAAUACGUAGGAGGCAAGCGUUGUCCGGAAUUAUUGGGCGUAAAGGGCGUGUAGGCGGCCAUUUAAGUUGGUUGUAAAAGGUAUGGGCUCAACCCAUAUUAUGCAUCCAAUACUGUUUGGCUAGAGAGAGAUAGAGGGAAGCGGAACUUCCGGUGUAGCGGUGAAAUGCGUAGAUAUCGGAAGGAACACCAGUGGCGAAGGCGGCUUCCUGGGUCUUUUCUGACGCUGAGGCGCGAAAGCUAGGGGAGCAAACGGG
rnacentral:rRNA from 1 species